AAACCAUAAUGAGGGCAAUGCCUUAAUAAACUUUUAAAUCUUUCCCAUGCUUUAAAUAGCAAUUUUCCAUUUGCUUGAGCAAAACUUGUAUUGCACUUCCUCGUAC